rnacentral:rRNA from 1 species
GAUGAACGCUGGCGGCGUGCCUAAUACAUGCAAGUCGAGCGAAUGGAUUAAGAGCUUGCUCUUAUGAAGUUAGCGGCGGACGGGUGAGUAACACGUGGGUAACCUGCCCAUAAGACUGGGAUAACUCCGGGAAACCGGGGCUAAUACCGGAUAACAUUUUGAACCGCAUGGUUCGAAAUUGAAAGGCGGCUUCGGCUGUCAUUUAUGGAUGGACCCGCGUCGCAUUAGCUAGUUGGUGAGGUAACGGCCCACCAAGGCAACGAUGCGUAGCCGACCUGAGAGGGUGAUCGGCCACACUGGGACUGAGACACGGCCCAGACUCCUACGGGAGGCAGCAGUAGGGAAUCUUCCGCAAUGGACGAAAGUCUGACGGAGCAACGCCGCGUGAGUGAUGAAGGCUUUCGGGUCGUAAAACUCUGUUGUUAGGGAAGAACAAGUGCUAGUUGAAUAAGCUGGCACCUUGACGGUACCUAACCAGAAAGCCACGGCUAACUACGUGUCAGCAGCCGCCGUAA